UCAGUGUGAAGGUACUGGAGAAAAUACUGAAGAGAGGACACAAACAUUAUACAGCCAAAGAGUAACUUGGGCUCACAGCACUGGUCUCUUUGAACACAUUUCUCCCUGUCCAGCCUCCAAAUACCUCCAUACAG
rnacentral:snoRNA from 1 species